UACAACUUUCAACAACGGAUCUCUUGGCUCUCGCAUCGAUGAAGAACGCAGCGAAAUGCGAUAAGUAAUGUGAAUUGCAGAAUUCAGUGAAUCAUCGAAUCUUUGAACGCACCUUGCGCUCCUUGGUAUUCCGAGGAGCAUGCCUGUUUGAGUGUCAUGA
rnacentral:rRNA from 2 species